rnacentral:rRNA from 1 species
AGAUCUGCACUGGGCGUAAAGCGUGCGCAGGCGGUUUUGUAAGACAGAGGUGAAAUCCCCGGGCUCAACCUGGGAACUGCCUUUGUGACUGCAAGGCUGGAGUGCGGCAAAGGGGGAUGGAAUUCCGCGUGUAGCAGUGAAAUGCGUAGAUAUGCGGAGGAACACCGAUGGCGAAGGCAAUCCCCUGGGCCUGCACUGACGCUCAUGCACGAAAGCGUGGGGAGCAAACA